GAUGAACGCUAGCGGCAGGCUUAAUACAUGCAAGGUCAAGGGGGUAGCAAUACAACCGGCGCACGGGUGAGUAACGCGUACACAACAUACCAUAUACUGGGGUAUAGCUUUGGGAAACUGAAGGUAAUCCCCCAUAACAUUGCGAGAGGGCAUCUGAUUGCAAUUAAAGUUUCGGCGGUAUAUGAUUGGUGUGCGUUUGAUUAGCUAGUUGGUAGGGUAACGGCCUACCAAGGCGACGAUCAAUAGCUGGCGUGAGAGCGCGACCAGCCACACUGGAACUGAGACACGGUCCAGACUCCUACGGGAGGCAGCAGUAGGGAAUAUUGGACAAUGGAGGAAACUCUGAUCCAGCCAUGCCGCGUGAUAGAUGAAGGCCCUCUGGGUUGUAAAUAUCUUUUAUCUGGGAAGAAACAAUCUUAUUCUUAAGAUCUUGACGGUACCAGAGGAAUAAGCACCGGCUAACUCCGUG
rnacentral:rRNA from 1 species